rnacentral:rRNA from 1 species
GAUGAACGCUGGCGGCGUGCCUAAUACAUGCAAGUCGAGCGAACGGACGAGAAGCUUGCUUCUCUGAUGUUAGCGGCGGACGGGUGAGUAACACGUGGAUAACCUACCUAUAAGACUGGGAUAACUUCGGGAAACCGGAUCUAAUACCGGAUAAUAUUUUGAACCGCAUGGUUCAAAAGUGAAAGACGGUCUUGCUGUCACUUAUAGAUGGAUCCGCGCUGCAUUAGCUAGUUGGUAAGGUAACGGCUUACCAAGGCAACGAUGCAUAGCCGACCUGAGAGCGUGAUCGGCCACACUGGAACUGAGACACGGUCCAGACUCCUACGGGAGGCAACAGUAGGGAAUCUUCCGCAAUGGGCGAAAGCCUGACGGAGCAACGCCGCGUGAGUGACGAAGGUCUUCGGAUCGUAAAACUCUGUUAUUAGGGAAGAACAUAUGUGUAAGUAACUGUGCACAUCUUGACGGUACCUAAUCAGAAAGCCACGGCUAACUACGUG